CCGUUCGACCCGUUCCGGCGCCGCGAACGGGCCGCGCAAACGAUGCGAAAGGGAACGCGUCGCGAUCGUGUCGUUACGAUAUCGCGGUAAAUGUGUCGGCCGGAUUUUCCGUGCUCCAAAUGCAUUUUGGAUCCCCCCAUUUUUUAUUUUUUGAACAACUUUUCUACCGGAAAAACUUGCUCGGACUUCUGAGCGUAGCAAUUUCCCUGAAAGAAAAUCGGUGCGGGGUGGUACUUAAGCGAGGUCAAUUUUCGUUUUUCUCGAGAUUUUCAUCAUCAAAUAUGUAAAACCAAAACCAAAGUGUGAAGAAACUAAUAAAAAAUGCACGUAUUAUUUAAAAUAUAUUACGGCCAUCUUUUUUUUUCUGUGCACGUCAUUUCCAUCAGCAAUUAUGCUCCCAUUUCUAACGAUAGAAAUAUUUCUAAAAGGAGAUUUCAAUGGGGAAACACUGUAAAGAGGUCGUUUUUUUCGAUUUUCUCCGGAGUUUUCUCAGAAAAUGUGAAAAACUCGGAAAAAACGUAGGAAAACCGAGGUAAUGUCGGGGCAACAUUACACAAACAUCCUUAAAGAUAACAUAGCCUGUUUAAUCAUUUUACUAUAAUAUGACGUGUAUAUAUAUUGUUGACAGAGCGUCACUAUCGACCGAAUUCCGCUCAGAGUAGUUAACGACCGUCGCCCACGGGUAUGCAUUAAAACACCUAUAACAGUGGCUGCACCCGUCCCCGUUAUCCUAGGACGUUUUUUUUUUUUUACAUUUUGUACUUAAUAUUGGUUGUUUGGUCUGACAAAAACAAUUUUAUAAUUCAGUGUUAAAC